CUGUGUGGAUAUUUUUGUGCACUCGAAGGCCACUGCUCUGAGCAAAGGUCUUUCCACAUUCUGUGCAUUUAAAUGGCUUCUCCCCUGAAUGGAUCUUUUUGUGUCUUCUAAAUCCACUGCCAUGAGUAAAUGCCUUUCCACAUUCCAUGCAUUUAAACGGCUUCUCCCCUGUGUGGAUCAUUUUAUGGGAAAUAAGAUGACCUCUUUGAGCAAAGGUCUUUCCACACUCCAUGCAUUUAUAUGGCUUCUCUCCUGCAUGGAUCUUUUUGUGCCUUUUAAGAUUACUGUCCUGAGCAAAGGUCUUUCCACACUCUAUGCAUUUAUACGGCUUCUC